CCUACGGGAGGCAGCAGUGGGGGAUAUUGCACAAUGGGGGGAACCCUGAUGCAGCGACGCCGCGUGGGUGAAGAAGCGCCUCGGCGCGUAAAGCCCUGUCAGCAGGGAAGAAAAUGACGGUACCUGAAGAAGAAGCCCCGGCUAACUACGUGCCAGCAGCCGCGGUAAUACGUAGGGGGCAAGCGUUAUCCGGAUUUACUGGGUGUAAAGGGGGCGCAGACGGCGAUGCAAGCCAGGAGUGAAAGCCCGGGGGCCAACCCCGGGACUGCUCUUGGAACUGCGUGGCUGGAGUGCAGGAGGGGCAGGCGGAAUUCCUGGUGUAGCGGUGAAAUGCGUAGAUAUCAGGAGGAACACCGGUGGCGAAGGCGGCCUGCUGGACUGCAACUGACGUUGAGGCCCGAAAGCGUGGGGAGCAAACAGGAUUAGAUACCCCAGUAGUC
rnacentral:rRNA from 1 species